AUUGAACGCUGGCGGCAGGCCUAACACAUGCAAGUCGAACGCGUGGCGGACGUGUGAGUAAUGUCUGGGAAACUGCCUGAUGGCGGGGGAUAACUACUGGAAACGGUAGCUAAUACCGCAUACCAUCAGAUGUGCCCAGAUGGGAUUAGCUAGUUGGUGGGGUAACGGCUCACCAAGGCGACGAUCCCUAGCUGGUCUGAGAGGAUGACCAGACACACUGGAACUGAGACACGGUCCAGAAUCCUACGGGAGGCAGCAGUGGGGAAUAUGGCACAAUGGGAGAAAGCCUGAUGAAGCCAUGCCGCGUGUAUGAAGAAGGCCUUCGGGUUGUAAAGUACUUUCAGCGGGGAGGCGUUACCCGCAGAAGAAGCAACGGCUAACUCCGUGCCAGCCGCCGCGGUAAUUC
rnacentral:rRNA from 1 species